CUCUUAAAAACGACUAAAACUCUGUUUUUUUUUUCUUUCCAUGUCCGAAUAUGUUCUUCCACUUACGUUUUCAAGUCAAAAUUAUGGUUCUCAGUUCUCACACCCUCAAAGACAACACAUAGAGGCAGCAUCACCCUUCAAUUAAAGAUGGCAGUGAAACGAAAGAAGCUUGAUUCGUGUGUGAAUUCGUCUAUGCCUUUCAUCGUCCAUCUUAAUUGGUGCAGGAGACUAAAUCUCUAAGUAUUGUAUGUUAGGAUUUAAAUGAGAAUGAAUGAUGUAUAGAGUUUAUGUGUGUAUUAGAUGUAUGUAUAGGGCUAUUGUAUGCGUGUUGUCGUGUUGAUGUAUGAAUAUGUAGGGUUAUUGUGUGCGUGUGUGUGUGUUAGAUGUAUGAAUAGGGGUCAACGUAGCGACAAAUGCUGCAUAAUAGCGAAUACGCUAUAUGCAAAACAAGUAACAAAAUCACGAACAAAACACACCACACGAACACAUCCGAAAACAAAACACAAGACAUCAAAAGCAGCAGCUAUAAAAGCACAAAGUAACAAACAAAAUCACGAAUACAAUAUUCGAAUACAAUAGGACGGAGGUAAGGACGGAAUCUGAAUCCCACCGGAUUCACCAUUGUCGCUGUUCUGCGGUAGGAAGGACGAAGUUGUGUUUUUAUUUAUUUAUUUAUCAUAAGUUAAAGCUUAAUUAUAUAAAGACAGUGACGGGAUCGAGUGACGUCAACUUGUGCGA